GAUAGAACGCUAGGCGUACAGGCUUAACACAUGCAAGUCGAGGGGCAGCGGCAGUGUGGGCAAUACAUGGGCGGCGACCGGCGCACGGGUGCGUAACGCGUAUCCAACCUUCCCGUUACUCUUGGAUAGCCUUCCGAAAGGGAGAUUAAUACAAGAUGGUAUUCAAAUUCCGCAUGUUAUUUGAGUUAAAGAUUUAUCGGUAACGGAUGGGGAUGCGUGACAUUAGGUAGAUGGCGGGGUAACGGCCCACCAUGCCUACGAUGUCUAGGGGUUCUGAGAGGAAGGUCCCCCACACUGGAACUGGGACACGGUCCAG
rnacentral:rRNA from 1 species